rnacentral:rRNA from 1 species
CUUGCUUCUCUUGAGAGCGGCGGACGGGUGAGUAAUGCCUAGGAAUCUGCCUGGUAGUGGGGGAUAACGUCCGGAAACGGACGCUAAUACCGCAUACGUCCUACGGGAGAAAGCAGGGGACCUUCGGGCCUUGCGCUAUCAGAUGAGCCUAGGUCGGAUUAGCUAGUUGGUGGGGUAAUGGCUCACCAAGGCGACGAUCCGUAACUGGUCUGAGAGGAUGAUCAGUCACACUGGAACUGAGACACGGUCCAGACUCCUACGGGAGGCAGCAGUGGGGAAUAUUGGACAAUGGGCGAAAGCCUGAUCCAGCCAUGCCGCGUGUGUGAAGAAGGUCUUCGGAUUGUAAAGCACUUUAAGUUGGGAGGAAGGGCAGUAAAUUAAUACUUUGCUGUUUUGACGUUACCGACAGAAUAAGCACCGGCUAACUCUGUGCCAGCAGCCGCGGUAAUACAGAGGGUGCAAGCGUUAAUCGGAAUUACUGGGCGUAAAGCGCGCGUAGGUGGUUCGUUAAGUUGGAUGUGAAAUCCCCGGGCUCAACCUGGGAACUGCAUUCAAAACUGACGAGCUAGAGUAUGGUAGAGGGUGGUGGAAUUUCCUGUGUAGCGGUGAAAUGCGUAGAUAUAGGAAGGAACACCAGUGGCGAAGCGACCACCUGGACUGAUACUGACACUGAGUGCGAAAGCGUGGGGGAGCAAACAGGAUUAAUACCCUGUAGUCCACGCCGUAAACGAUGUCAACUAGCCGUUGGGAGCCUUGAGCUCUUAGUGGCGCAGCUAACGCAAUUAAGUGGACCGCCUGGGGAGUACCGCCGCAAGGUUAAAACCUCAAAAUGGAUUUGACCGGGGGGCCC